rnacentral:rRNA from 1 species
GAAUGCAUCGAGCUGAAAGCUCCGGCGCUCAAGGAUGGGUCUGCGGCCUAUCAGGUAGUAGUGGGUGUAGCGUACCUACUAGCCUACGACGGGUACGGGUUGUGAGAGCAAGAGCCCGGAGAUGGAUUCUGAGACACGAAUCCAGGCCCUACGGGGUGCAGCAGGCGCGAAAACUUUACAAUGCUGGAAACAGCGAUAAGGGGACCUCGAGUGCCAGGUUACAAAUCUGGCUGUCGUGAUGCCUAAAAAGCAUUGCAUAGCAAGGGCCGGGCAAGACCGGUGCCAGCCGCCGCGGUAACACCGGCGGCUCGAGUGGUAACCGUUAUUAUUGGGUCUAAAGGGUCUGUAGCCGGCCGGAUAAGUCUCUUGGGAAAUCUGGCAGCUUAACUGUCAGGCUUUCAGGAGAUACUGUCUGGCUCGAGGCCGGGAGAGGUGAGAGGUACUUCAGGGGUAGGGGUGAAAUCUUGUAGUCCUUGAAGGACCACUAGUGGCGAAGGCGUCUCACCAGAACGGACCUGACGGCAAGGGACGAAAGCUAGGGGCACGAACCGGAUUAGAUACCCGGGUAGUCCUAGCCGUAAACGAUACUCGCUAGGUGUCGGCAACGGUGCGACCGUUGUCGGUGCCGUAGGGAAGCCGUGAAGCGAGCCACCUGGGAAGUACGGCCGCAAGGCUGAAACUUAAAGGAAUUGGCGGGGGAGCAC